rnacentral:rRNA from 1 species
AGUGAACGCUGGCGGCGUGCCUAAUACAUGCAAGUCGAACGAUGAAGCUUCUAGCUUGCUAGAAGUGGAUUAGUGGCGCACGGGUGAGUAAUGUAUAGCUAACCUGCCCCUUAGAGGAGAACAACAGUUAGAAAUGACUGCUAAUACUCCAUACUCCUUCUUAACAUAAAGUUAAGUCGGGAAACGAUUUUUUGCUAAGGGAUGGGGCUAUAUUGUAUCAGUUUGUUGGUGGGGUAAUGGCCUACCAAGACUAUGACGCAUAACUGGUCUGAGAGGAUGAUCAGUCACACUGGAACUGAGACACGGUCCAGACUCCUACGGGAGGCAGCAGUAAGGAAUAUUGCGCAAUGGGCGAAAGCCUGACGCAGCAACGCCGCGUGGAGGAUGACACUUUUCAGAGCGUAAACUCCUUUUGUUAGGGAAGAAUAAUGGCGGUACCUAACGAAUAAGCACCGGCUAACUCCGUGCCAGCAGCCGCGGUAAUACGGAGGGUGCAAGCGUUACUCGGAAUCACUGGGCGUAAAGGGCGCGUAGGCGGACUAUCAAGUCUCUUGUGAAAUCUGGUGGCUUAACCAUCAAACUGCUUGGGAAACUGAUAGUCUAGAGUGAGGGAGAGGUAGAUGGAAUUCUUGGUGUAGGGGUAAAAUCCGUAGAGAUCAAGAGGAAUACCUAUUGCGAAAGCGAUCUACUAGAACUCAACUGACGCUGAGGCGCGAAAGCGUGGGUAGCAAACAGGAUUAGAUACCCUGGUAGUCCACGCCCUAAACGAUGUAUGCUAGUUGUUGCUAUGCUAGACAUGGCAGUAAUGCACCUAACGGAUUAAGUAUACCGCCUGGGGAGUACGGUCGCAAGAUUAAAACUCAAAGGAAUAGACGGGGACCCGCACAAGCGGUGGAGCAUGUGGUUUAAUUCGAAGAUACGCGAAGAACCUUACCUGGGGCUUGACUUCCAACAAAUCUUUUAGAGAUAAAAGAGUGCUUGUUUACAAGAAUGUUGUGACAGGUGCUGCACGGCUGUCGUCAGCUCGUGUCGUGAGAUGUUGGGUUAAGUCCCGCAACGAGCGCAACCCACGUGUUUAGUUGCUAACAGUUAGGCUGAGCACUCUAAACAGACUGCCUUCGUAAGGAGGAGGAAGGUGUGGACGACGUCAAGUCAUCAUGGCCCUUAUGCCCAGGGCGACACACGUGCUACAAUGACAUAUACAAUGAGACGCAAUAUCGUGAGGUGGAGCAAAUCUAUAAAAUAUGUCCCAGUUCGGAUUGGAGUCUGCAACUCGACUCCAUGAAGCCGGAAUCGCUAGUAAUCGUAGAUCAGCCAUGCUACGGUGAAUACGUUCCCGGGUCU